GUCACGAGCUCGCGCCGCCGCCGCCUGGAGUGGCUCGCCGUCGUCGAAACUUGCCUAGCAGCCGCCUCGAGUGACUUCAGUCGUCUCCGCCGCUGCCGCCGGUCGUCAUCAAUAACGAGGGCCCUGGUCCUCAACCACGACAGCAUCCCGCCGCCCCGAUCUGCGACUCAGGAGCUGCCGAUCUGCGAGCCAGGACUCAACAUUGCAGCCCAUCCUAGAUGGUAGUCACGAUCAUCAACACCAAUGAUCAGCUCUUAGCCCUGCAGAACCUCCUCGGUCUGAUUCGGGUCAUAAAACUGGAGACGCUGAACGAUCUGGCGUCGGCGCCCAACAUGUACCAGCACCUCCACUCCCUAGUGAGAGCAAGGCUGUGGACAUGUGAGAAGCUAACCGUUCUAGAAGGAUUUAGCUGGUUGGCUCUUUUUGUCCAACACCUCCGCGACGAUCUCGAAGGUCUACAGCCCGCCAUGAAUCCACAUGCCACCUUACAGGGGCCUAAGAGCGUUCUCCACACGUUUGUUCGGAUUAAGUACCAAGCGGGCCAGCUAAGACGUGCUAAAACCGAGAUCAGAUUUAGGGCUGGAGGGCUGGCAACGGAAGUUGGAAAUCUCGGCACACACUUAAAAGGUCAGUCAGAUCAGGUUCUGUUAGGGACCAUGACCAUAGCGGAGUUCCAGGCAUGUAUCCCCGAGCACCUCGUUCAGAUCGACAAUCUACUCCAUGCAAGGAUGCAGUUCUGAGUGAUUGAAGUCUAAGAUGGACCCGAGGAAAUUGUGUUACUCAAGGAAGGGCAAUAAGAAGAGUGGUGAAGCUGAGGCAGAGUAAGAUGGUGGUGGCUGAGUUUGCGGCGACAAAUGCCAUCUCUUGUAUCGCUAGAGUCUUAGCUGUGAACUUAAUUCUCACUUAUGUAUGAUCAAAGGAGAUCCAUCAAUUGGUACCAAUGUGUUUUUUUGUC